rnacentral:rRNA from 1 species
UACAGGGGGGGCAAGCGUUGUUCGGAAUUACUGGGCGUAAAGGGCUCGUAGGUGGCCAACUAAGUCAGACGUGAAAUCCCUCAGCUUAACUGGGGAACUGCGUCUGAUACUGGAUGGCUUGAGUUUGGGAGAGGGACGCGGAAUUCCAGGUGUAGCGGUGAAAUGCGUAGAUAUCUGGAGGAACACCGGUGGCGAAGGCGGCGUCCUGGACCAACACUGACACUGAUGAGCGAAAGCCAGGGGAGCAAACGGG